CCUACGGGAGACAGCAGUAGGGAAUCUUCCACAAUGGGCGAAAGCCUGAUGGAGCAACGCCGCGUGGGUGAAGAAGGUCUUCGGAUCGUAAAACCCUGUUGUUAGAGAAGAAAGUGCGUGAGAGUAACUGUUCACGUUUCGACGGUAUCUAACCAGACAGCCACGGCUAACUACGUGCCAGCAGCCGCGGUAAUACGUAGGUGGCAAGCGUUAUCCGGAUUUAUUGGGCGUAAAGGGAACGCAGGCGGUCUUUUAAGUCUGAUGUGAAAGCCUUCGGCUUAACCGGAGUAGUGCAUUGGAAACUGGGAGACUGGAGUGCAGAAGAGGAGAGUGGAACUCCAUGUGUAGCGGUGAAAUGCGUAGAUAUAUGGAAGAACACCAGUGGCGAAAGCGGCUCUCUGGUCUGUAACUGACGCUGAGGUUCGAAAGCGUGGGUAGCAAACAGGAUUAGAUACCCGGGUAGUC
rnacentral:rRNA from 1 species